rnacentral:misc_RNA from 1 species
GAUGAAGAACGCAGCGAAAUGCGAUAAGUAAUGUGAAUUGCAGAAUUCAGUGAAUCAUCGAAUCUUUGAACGCACCUUGCGCCCUUUGGCUAUUCCAGAGGGCAUGCCUGUUUGAGUAUCAUGAACACCUCAACUCUCAUGGUUCUGCCAUGAUGAGCUUGGACUUUGGAGGUCUUGCUAGCCCCUGUGGUCAGCUCCUCUCAAAUGGAUCAGCUUGCCAGUGUUUGGUGGCAUCACAGGUGUGAUAACUAUCUACGCUUGUGGUUUUCCACCAGGUAACCUUCAGUGAUGGAGGUUCGCUGGAGCUCAUAAACGUCUCUCCUCAGCGAGGACAGCUUCUUGAACGUUUGAUCUCAAAUCAGGUAGGGCUACCCGCUGAACUUAAGCAUAUCAAUAAGCGGAGGA